GAGCUGCGGGCCGUGUGGCCUCCGUGUCCGCGCGGCUUCGGCGUCCCGGAUCUUGGCCGUCCCCGCCUUGCGCUCCCCUCUGUCCUCGGGGUCCCCGGUGUCCCUUGACCGUGUCGGUUCCGCCGCCUCCUCUCGGGCAGGGGCGUCCUGGAGCUAGGACUCGGUCCCGCGAGCUAUCAGGCCUCGGGGACCCGCGCCUGCCCACCGGCUGUGCCCCGGAAACCUCGCUGCUGGCCGGCUCCCGGGCCCUCAGACCCUGCAGGGGGAGUUGUUUUCCCGCCUGGGAACGUGCGGUGCACCGCGCUCUGCGGACUCUUAGACCGCGGCAGUGUCCAGCGGAAGAAGCCACCAGCAAGGCCUGGGCCGGGGGAGCGGGCUUUCUUCUUAAUGUGUGACACUUUGGGACUGUUGUGCUUGCUACUUGGGUUCGGGUCAGCAGUUUUCAAGCCCAUUUCGCACAUGCAGGAAAACACAAUAAGAAUGGUGGGAGCCGAAAGGUAGGGAUGGUACUAAUUUCUUAAACUUACUUGAUCACUUGGUCAUUGGUCGAUUGAUUUUCCUAGUACUGGGGGUCGAAUCCAGGGACCCUCUGCCACUGGGCUACAUUCUCAGCCCAUCUUUUUGAGACGUGUUAUCGUUAUUUAGCCUAGGUGGGGCUUGAACAUGCAGUCUUCCUGCCUCGGCCUCCCCAGUGGUGGUCUUACAGGUGUGCACCACCAUGCUCUGCUUCCUGGUGCAAUUUCUGAAAAAUACAGCACCCUGGGCCUACAGUACCCUGGGCCAACAGGAUCAGACGCUGGUGUCUCAGGUGUUACUGCUGAAGCACACGUGGGGAGUGUGGUGUGGCUCCACCUUUCCCUUAUGGUCUUCCCUGUGAUCAGCUGCCCACCUAUCCCUAAUACUGCAACUGGAGCAAUGACUUAGGACGUUACAGGUGUCACUUUGCUGUCAGUAUGGGCAGAUCUGGGCAGAACAAGCCGUUUUUGUGGGGUUUUUUUGUACCGGGGAUUGAACUGGGGUCCUUGCACUUGCACAGCAGGCAGCCAAACCAUUGAGCUAAAUCCCCGGCCCCGAAGCCAUUCUUUUAUUUUGUUUGUUUGUUGUUGUUGUUGUUUAAGACAGAGUCUCCCUGUAGUUGAGGCUGGUCUUGAACUCACUAUGUAGCCCACACUAUACCCUCGAACUCUUGGCAAUCCUCCUGCCUCAGCCUCCUGAGUGCUGGGAUUACAGGAGUGCACCACCACGUUCCAGUGAAGCCCUGUUUUAAGGUUAUUGAGUAGAAAUUAUUUCUCUUCUUUUGGGGUGGUUUGGGGAUCAAACCCAAGACCUGUUUCCCCUCCCUGACCACUGAGCUAUACUUGAGGCCUACAAAAGCAGUAGUUUUGUUUGUUUUGUUUUCUUGAGACAAGAUUCUUAUUAUGUAGCCCAGGCUGGCCUGCAGCUCACAGUGGCAGGGCUCCGACCUCCCACCUGCACUUCUCUCCCACAGCCCAAUCUCCCCCGGGAGCUGAGCAGAAGUCCUCCUGCCUUGGCCUUCCUAGUAGCUGGAAUUACAGGCUUGUGCCGCUGCACCUAGCUCACCUUGGAUUUUUAACAUAGGCUAUUCCAUCUUUUUUAUGUAUUUGUUUUUUGGGGGUGUUUCUUUUGAGACAGGGUCUCAAAAACUAUGUCGUUUGGGCUGGUCUUUAACUUACAAUGUAGCCUAGGCUGGCCUGGAACUCUUCGGCGCCUCAGCCUCCUGAGUGCUGGAACUACAGGUGUGUGCCACCAUGCUUGCUGGCAUAUUAUAUCUUGAAAUUCAUCUUUUUGUGCUGCUGCUUCUGCCUUUGCAAUGUUCUUUUUCCUGCUAGGGGAAAAGCUUGAUGUUUCUGUCCUCACAGCUGUUAUGACUUUGCUCACCUUGUUUGGUAGUCAGCAGACAACAGUGAAAAAUCACAGGUUCUAGGGCCAGGUUUGCAGGCUUUGAAUUGUGAAGUUGCCACUCACCAGCAUUACAAGACCCUGGGGAAAUCAUUACUUGUACCUGUGCUUUGGUUUCUUCAAGCUUAGAAGAGGUGAAAUCUACUUCAUAGGGUUAGAUUCGUUGAAUAUUUAGGCCAGUGGUGCUGAACCUACCAUACGCAUGCUGCAGCAGGCUGUUUGUAUCAUUGAAAUCUCUAAAAAGUUCAUCACUGAUUUAGGCAGUGUGGGGGACAUUGUAACUACCCUAUAAAAAUAGUUUUUACAAACAUGUGUGGAGGCAUUUGGGUGUCGCAUCCCCUCUGUUGUCUGUUCUCAGUCAUCAGCAUGUUUCCUGGGUACCCGUGGCGAAUGCUGGGAAACUGGAGACAAGCUGUAGCUGCUGCCCGGCUCAGAGUCCAUCGUGGUGGGAAAAUAACCACUAUGCCUGGGUGCUGCUGCAGGCCAGGGGCCUGUCCUUCCUGCCUUGUCGGGUUUAGUGUUUGCCGCAGCCCAUGAGGUAGAGGUUCGGAGCCUGUAGAGCAGUGGGAAGCCUGACAUAGUGCUGCAGAAACUUGCCCGGAGUCCUCCGGCCGAGAGGCUUUCACACCUAACUGCACCCCAGCCCGGGCUUCCCGGGCGGCUGUGCUCGCCGUGUGGAGAGUUGUGCAUGGGGACGAGGGCAGGCGGCAUGGGCCAUCACAGAGAAGCCACUCGGCCACGCUGAUGUCACGUAGAUGUCCAGUAGGCUGUGAGCGAGGACAUUAUCUGUGUCUGCAGGAGGGUGGCAGGAGCUGUGGCGAUGAUCGGAGGGACAGUGUGUGCUGUCCUGGGAGGAGGGACGGUGAAGCUGCGAGUCUGAGGGAGUCUGAGUGCGAGGAGCCGCGGGGCGGGCACAGAAGAGCCAAGGCCUGGAUGAGAAGCAGGCUGGGAAGGAGCUUGUCUCUGUGAGGAGCUCUCACUCGGUCGAGAGUUGUGGCGGGGCCAGAAGCAGGGCUGUGAAAUAAGGCUCCCGAGGCAGAAGACCUGCUCGGCCCCUGUGUGGAGACCAGGCUGUGGGGGAAAAGUGCGAGGAGGAGGAGGUCGGGCGUCCUGCCCGGAAGCCACUGCCCGAGUCUGGGAGGGAUGCGGUGGCCUCAGUCCUCAGGUUUGGCAGGAGGUGGAGUGAAGUAGAUGACCUGUGGGACUUAGGGUGUGGCCGCGCCAGGCUUGAUGAGUGACCGGGUAGAGGAGGUGAGAAAGGGGGCAUCCUGGUGACAGCUGACUUCCAGAAAUGGGGGCCUCUGGGGGCCAGCGAGAGCAGGCUGGGGGGCGAGGGAGUGGCUGUGUCGGGCUGUGCUGGUCACCUGUGGGAGCAGUGGAGGUGGCUGCUCUGCACUAGAGAGCAGUGAGGUCUGAAAGAAAAGCAGAAAUUGCUUUUGUCACUGGAGUGUGUGGUUUAGAGUAAGGGGUGAAAUCAUGUCCAUGUUGCGAUCUUCAGGUAGGUGAUGUCUGACUGAGAUGCUGGCAUUUCUAGCUGCAAACUUUGGGGCCAGGGCAGCAUCACCUGGGACGGGGCACUUCAGUGUCCUUUUCAAGCAGGGAUCCAUUUGAGGUGCCUAGGCCUUGGCAUUUGUCAUAGUUGGUUGAAACAGUGGUGUCUCCUGGGAGGUUCAGGCACUUGUUGCAGACUGGAGCACUCAGAGCAGCAGUUGGCAGACACGUGCAGCUCCAUCUGAUGGGUUUUGGGUACACGUGUCCCAGUACUGGGAAUUGGAGCCAGGCCUUUGCACUGAGCUGUAUCCCUACCUCUUUUUAAAAGUUUGAACUUUUAGACAGGUAUCGAGCGUCCUGCAUCAGCCUCUCAGAAUAUUGGGAUUACAGGAUUACAGUUGUGUGCCACUUUGCAAGACUCAAUCAUGUUGCUUUAAUAGGUACAGCACUCAAUGGCCAUCAUGCUUGAUCUAAAUCCAGGAGGCAUUAGAAAAUGUAAAUGAGAAAGGAAUACAUUGUUAACAGGAUUUAAAAGUACAUACUAAGAAACCCUGGACCUAAACAUCCUUAAUUUGUGUAUCAAAUGAAUCUCCUGGGAGGAAGAUGUCCUCAGUGUAGGGCCAUACCUGGGCUCCUGGAGGUGGGUUCAUUAAGAUCUUAUGUGCUGUAUGUGACCAAGCUGUGGAGGUCCCCACCAGCAGCCUGGGAAGGUACCCAUGGCCCUCAGGGGUGCAGGCCCACAGCGGAGGUGUUGAGCAGGGCUGUGGCUCUGUGAGUGCAUCCUUUUUUGGGGGGGUGGGGGUUGAGGUAAGGUCUCCCUUUGUAGUUCAGGCUGGCCCUGAACUCACUAUGUAGCCCAGGCUGGCCUCGAACUCUCAGCGAUCCUCCUGCCUCAGCCUCCUGUGUGCUGGGAUUAUAGGUGUGCACCACCACGCCUGGCUCAUCUGUGAGUGCCGUUUACCAGAUGCGAAUUGAAUCACUCAGUAAUUUAGUAGCAUUUGUUGUCAGGCAUGGAAUGCUGGCAGUGGAAAAUGUUGAAGUUGGAGUAAGCCAUUGUAAGGGGCUCUGGAUGUGGUUGGUUGGUUGUUUUUUUGUUUUUAAUCUUUUUUUUUUUUUUUUUUGGUACCGGGGAUCGAACUCAGGACCUUGGGCUUUCGAGGCAGGUAGUGGAACCACUGAGCUAAAUCCCCGGCCAGUUUGGUUGUUUUUAAAGGAGACAAAUUUGGGCUCUUAAGUGGAGAAUGAGUAGAUAUAGCCACCCCCUCCCCCCACUUUUUUUUUCCAGAGAGGGUCUCAUUAUGUUGCCCAGGGUGGCCUUGAAUUUGCAGUGAUCCUCCUGCCUUAGCUGCCUGAGCGCUGGGAUUACAGGUGUGUGCCAGCACAACCAGCUGCCACCUCACUAUAAAUUAAAGGUUAAGUUGUAAGCCUGGAAUACCCCAUUUCAGUUUACAUUUGACCAUAUUAACUAUGUUAACUAGGCGUUCAUGGAGGCCAUUUUAAAUAAAUAAAUAUUAAUAUGUUAAUAACUUUGUCUAACAUAGGGUAGUUCACGGUGAUGGGCAUGUGCUGUCCUUCCUCACAUACAUGAGGCCAAACUGUUGAGCCUCCUUCAGGUUGAUACAAGGGAACAGAUAGGGGCUCCAUGCUGCCAAGUGGUAGCCUGUCUCUGGGACCCCCCAAAAUAACCAGUGUUUUUCCUCUUUUUCUUUCAAGUGAAAUCUUCAGAAUGCCUUCUCUUUCUAGAUGGUAGAUUUCUUCUUUCCUCAUUCUCCUUGGGUCUUUGUGUCCCGUUUCUUGUGGUGUGUGUGCUGCUGUUUUGACCUCACAGAUGCUUACUGGAAAUGUUCGCCACUGGCCCUGUGCAUCUGGGCCUCACGGCAGCUGCUUCAUGGCAUCUGCUGACCUGCAGGCCAGGGCCAGGAUCCACCAACAGCCACUUCACUGCUGUAGUUGCAGUGCCAGAGCUCUGUAUGUGGAUAGGCGGCGAGGACUCUCAUGCUUUGUUGGGCAGGAACCAGUGUUGGGGCAUUUGCUUGUCCAUUAAGGUUUUAGCCACAUCAUGCCAGGGGUUCAAGCCAUGUUAUGUUGUGCAUCAGGGGCUGAAGUGCAGUAGCAUCCAAGGAGCAGUGGGCUUCCUGACCUCUGUGUGUGGGCCCUUGUAGUAUAAGUGUGCAGUGUGAGCAAGCAAAUCCAUGAGAUUAGGUCCUCUGGGAUCUUUAUAUACAGCAAUGCAAAAAAUAGGAUAAAACCCUGUGACUAAACCUGUGCAUGGAAACAGGAUGGAAAAGUUACUGGCUGCUUCUCUUUCUCUUUGUGUGGCAAGAAUGCACAUGUAUCUUCCACACUGGUGCAUGGGCUGUGUGCCUAGUGCCAGGUCCUUACUGUGACUCAGCGAGGGAUGAGAUGUCAGGUGCAGUGACAGCAACAGUAGCUGUGGGAAGGGAGGUACGCUCACCCCAGCCAAGCCAGCGAUGCAGAGUUGGAGUCAGGCUGCAUCCUCCUUACCAGUUUCCAAAUUCUUUCUUAUACUUUGGUAUCACAGGUACAAAUGGGUUUAUGUAUGAUAUUUAUCCUUUGUGAUGGGCAAAUACACUAUACCGAGUUAUUGCAGAUGGACAUUCCACAGGUGAGAUGACAAGGGAAAGUACAAUGUUUAUUUGUGUUCAAUGAACAGAAAAUCCCAUUGAAAGCCAGCCAGCCACACAUACAGUGCAGUGUUCAUAUUGUAUUCAUAGAGGGCAGAAAGGCUCGGUCACCCCAUGUGUCCAAAGUCAUCCGGGCCCUUGAGGAUGUCACCUGUCUUCAGGAUGACCUGUCACCUCUCAUGGAACAGAAAGGGGCUCAACAGAAUCACAUGCUGCAAAUGAGUUACCAGACUUUACAGCCCUUACAGUGGUGGGUUUGUACAUCCAAGAGUUGAGCAGGGAGUGGAGCUUGAACUAGAAAACAAGCAGCAGACCUUUCCCCGCAGCCAUCUGCUCAGAGAGGACAGGCUGUGGGGGCUGGGAACUCACUGACUGGAAAGUGCUUCCCUUCCUUCUGCCUCAUCCAGCACUGUGGUCAUGGAGUGUAGGGCACUAGAACUGCUCUCCAAGCUGCAGGUUUUGGUGUGCAAUGGAAAUCCUGGCUUAGAUUUUUUUGAAUAGAUACUAAAACUAUCCUUCUCUCCCCUAGUAGUUUCUGUCCUUUAUGAACAGAAAAACAAGGUGUUUGCAAAGGAUUAAAAACAGGGGCAUUUGACUAUUAUGAGAAAAAUGGCCCAUGAAGAAAUGCAUAAAUUGUCUAACAGAUGUGCUCUGCUCGAAGAAGUCAAGAAUCAUGCAAGAAACCACCCUGCUGUUCAGGGGACAGAGAAGGCAGAGGUGUAAAACAUACUCGGUUCUUGUGACAAACAGUGGAAUGGUAAUGAGGACCUCGGCAGUGAGCCCUGUGGUGACCUGAAUGAGAGGGCUCACAACUCAGCACCUUGAAGUGGAGGCCAGAAGCAGUGGUGCAGGACGCUGCUGCCCGACAGACCCUGGCUCGCUCACGCUUUCUUCAUGUACAGGUGGAACAAAGUACUUUGGCCUCUCAAAUCCAUGUUUCUCCAUCCAUCUGGCCCCUUGUGCAUCCAGCCGGUCAUACAGCGGAGAAGUACGCAGCUGCCUACCAGUCUGGAAGUCCCAACGGGGAACCUUCAGGUCGUAUAUCAAAGCUAGAACAGAUGAGAACAGUCUGUCAAAGCUGUGAGUCACACACUCGGAGGUGAGUACCCAAUAUCCACUAGACCCUGGAGUCACUCCUAUUGAAGAGAGCAUAAUUUGCAGCUGAUAUGGCCUAAUCUGUCAGUAUCACCCAGUACUACAGGCAUGCUCCAGAUGGACAGUGCUGCAGAGCUGGCAUUAUCCUGAUUAUCCUGUGUAAAGCUAUCCAGCUAGUGACUCAUGCUCUCCAGUCACAAUUAUACUUCCAAAGAAAUGAUAGGAGAGAAGCCAAGGGGAAACCUUGCUCAACUCCAUAGCACAGAUGAAGGCAAUAUCUAAGUGAGACACAGGUGAUGAUGAAGUGUGAAAAAAUGGCACUUGAAUCUUUGCCUGUGUUGUUGGGAUCUCAGACCUAUUACAGACAUUUCUUCCUCUUAAUAUUUAACCCAUUUCUGAAGUGAAAGGGUACAUAGCAUACCUUGAUUUGGUGGCUCUGAAAUCUGAGAGGUUGCAAUGUAUUGUCCCAGUGACAUUAUUCACAUAACAAAGCUAGGGUCAGAAUUCAUUUCUCUUAAUGUCCAAUCUGCAACAGCAAUAAGUAAAAAGAGCCAGAAAGAAUAUGAUCUCUAGUCUCUUCCAAAGACCUGACCUCAGUCCAAGCCAAAGGUACACUAGGGGUGGGGAAGGUUGGGAGAUUAAGGAGAGGGAGGCCACACUAAAUUUCUUGUAUUGUGACAACUUAUCACCUCUUAUGGUACUUUAGGUUCUAAAACCUAUUCUAUCAUGCUUAUAAAUUCUGAGACAAAAAAAAAGGCCAUUGAAAGUGUCACAUCACCAAGGAGAAGCUCAAACGCAAUUAUAAUUUGCACACGUUCUAUUGUAACAAUUGGUGGAGAAACCUCAAAUUACAAUAGUUGAACAUCUUAGCUAAGAUAUUUGCUAAAAUUAACCUUAGCAGUUAGACAUAUUGCUGCUAGUCCUUCAUCUCCCAUGGAUGGAAGUUGUGUGCUACAAGGCAAAGCAAGUGUUCAGGUGUUAAAGGGCAUCCAAAGGCCUCACCGUGAAUGUCAUUCCACUACUAAGGCAGCAGCAGUGCAUUUGGUGGGCACAGCCAAUGUAAAAACUUACUCUUGAGCAUAAACAUGCCCCAAAUAUUUAUAAAUUAUUUAGCAAAGUCUGAGAAUAGUUCCUCAGUGUAGGAAAAUGAAAUAACUUGUCAGAGCCCACGUAAUUUAAUUUCUGAUACAAAAGCUGUCUCUAAAGGCUUGCUGGAAAAUAAAGACAAAGUGGAACAAGUUAAAAUGAAGAGGCCAAUACUUCAGAGUUGGAAGGGGACAAGGAGAAGGAAAGCAGGAAUGAAUGCUUUAUAUUCACAUGAGAAAUGCUUUCUUAGCUUGCUAGCAUAUGACAGUUUGAUGACAAAAGUCACUCAGAGAAGCCCAAAGAUCUGAGAAAACCUUGGCAAAUCCUCUGCCUUGGAAAGAAAACAGUGAUCUCAAAAUCCAAGUGGGACAGGGGGCCAGGAGAUGUAGCUCAGUGUUAGAGCAUUUGCCUAGCAUAUGUGAGGCCCUGGACAUGAUCCCCAACACUGAAAACAAAACCCACGAGUGGGGAGCAUGGGAGCAUCAUAGAGCCUUUCAAGGCAAACUGGAAAGGAGACAUUGCUAGGAAUAUACAGGAAGCCUCUGCAUAGCACCUGUAAACCCUACUGUAUUUUCCUGUUCCCAAAAGUAAACAAGGUUCAAUAUACUAACAAUGUUCUGUAAAUAUCAUGGGGCAUGAGGCCCCAUCCAGGCCUGAAAUCAGAUGCCCAACUCAAAGCAAUUAUUAAAGAACUGGGGAAAAAUCUGCCUUGUGAAUGAUAAAACAGGCCACCAGAAAGAUGCCUGCAGCUAGGUGCAGCUAGGGUAAAGCUUCACUUACGCAUGACUUCCAUGACCCGGUGGCGCAGAAAGGUACGGCUGCUCUGGAGGGCUCCAAAGCGUUUCAAGUCCAAUUCCCAGACGUUUUCUGAAGGAUAACCAUGUACUAUCCAUUCAGCAAGGUACCUGUUGGGAUGGGGGACAAAUGUUGGGCCUCAAAUGUGAUACACGAGAUAAAAAUGUUCAUCCAUCUGUCAUUUGCUAGCAAGCUAAGAAAGCACUUCUUGUGUGAAUACAAAGCACUCAUUUCUGCUCUCCUUCCCCUUUCCUUGCCUUCUUCCAACUUGCCUCAGGUGUGAUACACAAGAAAAUAAAAACAAUAUUCUACAAAUCAAGAACCAGCAGAGGGCUGGGCAUGGAGCUCAGUGAUAGAAAGCACCAAAGUGGAAAAAUAACCAGUGGAAUCAAAAUUGCUUAUGUUGUCACAGAUUUUUUACUUUUAUUUUAUUUUUUUUUGGUACCAGGAAUCGAACUUGGGUCCUUGUGCUUGCGAGGCAAGUGGCGGAACCACUGAGCUAAAUCCCCGGCCCGGUCACAGAUUUUUUUCAGGAAUAAACAAACAGGGAUCCAAGUACUACAAUCACAGAACCACUAGGAGGAUUUUAGCGCUAAUCAGGUUCCCAGAAAGUGUUUAAGACAUAAGCCACAUCUAUGAAGAAACAAGACCACACAUACAUGUGUGCUUUAAUUUACACACCAGAUGUUGGGGUCACCUGGGACAUGCUGUUAUCUGAUCACACCCCCCACUCCAUAUGUUCUCAUUAGCUACUGUGACUUUUCAGAGCUGUUCUGCAAGAGCUGUUCACUCAAGAAAACUGGCCUUACUCAAAAAAAUUUUUUUAAUUAUGAUAAAAAUACAGUUGAUCCCUGAACAACACAGGUUUAAAUUGCACAGGUCCACUUAUGUGCAGAUUUUUUUUGGGGGGGGCAGACUUUACAAACUAUUUGAUAAAACUCCCUGAAGAACCACGUAAUCUAGAUAUAUUGAAAAAAUUAAUAAAAAAAAGAUAUGUCAUGAAUGCAUUAUAUAUGUCUGUUUUAUCAUUUACUACCACAAAAUAGAUACAAAUCUAUUACUAAAGUUAAAAAUUGUCAAUAUUUACACUCCUAAACAGGUCAUACAUGGUGCCAUUCGCAGUCAAGAGAAAUGUAAACAAACAUAAAGAUGUAGUAUUAAACUGUAACUGCAUAGAUCCACUUCACUAACAGUGUGAUAAUUUCAUAGCAUUGUCCUGUACUACUGGGGUGAGCACAAGUGUUGGGAAUAUCCACUUAAAACAUCACGAGAUGGGCCAGGGAUUUAGCUCAGUGGUUCCACCACUUGCCUCACAAGCACAAGGUCCUGGGUUCAAUCCCCGAUACCAAAAAAAAAAAAAAUAAUAAUAAUGAGAUGCUACUCAUCUCUUGUAAGUACCCAGAGUACCUAGAACCACAGUAAAAAUAUCUCCAGGCCAGGGAUUUAGCUCAGUGGUUCCAGCGUCUGCCUUGCAAGCACAAGGUCCUGGGUUCGAUCCCCGGUACAAAAAAAAAAAAAAAGCUAUCUCCUAGUUCUCUUGCACUUUUUACUAUUUACAUGUAACACGCAAAAAGUGUUAACUGACGGUUUACAUUGUCAGUAAGGCUUCUGGUCAACACCAGGCUAUGAGUAGUUAACUUUUGGGGAACCAAAUGUUACACAAGGAAUUCGACUGGGAGCAGAGCCCAGUGUACUCAGCAACCUGCUCUGGGUGCUGGGCCAGCGACCACCGCCCAGGAGAAGCUGCCACUGCCGCAGCCACAGCAGACUGUCACCACCAUCACACCAAGAACAGGAGGCCACGUCCCAGCAGGGGUCCACCCUCAGCUCUGCCCAUACCAAGCUGUGCUGGGAGUGGUGCCUGGUGGCCUCAAGGGGGUGCUGGCAGCAGGGCAGAAGCUCAGAGCUGACACUGUGAGAAGACUUACUUCCCAGCCCCUCCACCAAAGGACAGGCCGGCCGAGUUCAUCCCUGCCAGGACAAAGUAGCCACGGACCACAGGGGACUCGCCCAUGAUGCACCUCAUGUCUGGCGUGAAGGUCUCGGGACAGUUCACCAGCUUCAGGAUCUCCAGCAUCUCCAGUUCUGGCAUCCGACGCAGGAGGGAACUCAGUAGGGGCUCUGAAUGACGAGAACAAACCCAACACAGCCCUCAGCUUUAGGGAGUUUAGAAACUUGUUCCAAGCCCUUAUCCUCCUCUCAGAAAGUCUCCUGGAAGGAAUUUUUCUAAGACCCAGUUGGGCCUUUUAUCAAAAGAAGAAAGCUUGGUGAAAUUGCAGAACACAUCUGCACAAUGCUUAGCAUAAAGACUGAGAAAAAUAUGUGGAAAGGAAAGGUGGUACAGGCUAGCAAGUAAUACAUGGGGGUAGAGACAGUAAUAUCAAAGGACUUCAGCAGGAAUGGAAAGGCUCUUUACAUAGCAUUUGGGGAACUUUUAAUGAAAAACAAUGUUUUCAGCCAGGUUUGGUGAUGCACACUUGUAAUCCAAGCAUUCUGGGAGGCUGAGGCAGGGAUAUGCAAGUUGGAGCCCAGCCUGGACAAUUUAGUAACACUGUCUCAAAACAAAACAAAAAAAAACAAUAAAGGGCUGGGGAUGUAGCUCAGUGUGAAGGCCCUAGGUUCAACCUCCAGUACAAAAGAAAAAAAAAAAGCAACGUUUCCCUGUUAGAAUAGUUACAAAAGACAGAGCCCCCCUAUGAAGAGUAAAUUUGUCAUCUGGCCAUAAUCCUGUGGGACAGUGACAAUAGAUGAAUCAGGCUGGAGCUGUCUGGUGGGUGCUGGAUGGGCAGCAGGGGAGGGAAAGGUCUGAUCACUCCACUCCUUCUAGUAUGAAAUUCUGAAAUCUCCCAAAAGUAGUUUUAUUUUUUCCUCAAGAUUAUUAUUAUUUUUUGGUACCAGGGAUCAAACUCAGGACCUUGUGCUUUCGAGGCAGGCGCUGUGCCACUGAGCUAAAUUCCCAGCCCAAGAUUAUUUUUAAAAAGUCCACAGGCUAGGGGCUGGGGAUUUGGCUCAGUGGUUCCACUGCCUGCUGCGCAAGCGUAAGGAUCUGAGUUCGAUCCCCGGCACCAAAAAAAAAAAAAAAAAAAAAGUCCACAGGGUGAGGAAUGUCAUGUCCCUCACCUAGUGUGCAUUAAGCCUAUGUUUGAUUCCCAGCACUGCAGAAGAAAAAAAAAGUCCAUCACGGACAGAGGGAAAUUCAUCAGAGGCUCUCAUAUCUUUAGAACUUGGAUCCAUGUGACUAUGUUAAUUAUUCAAUGAAUCAAAUUAUUUUAAAAUUUAAUAAAGGACCACAUUAUCAAACAAUCCUUUCUUUUAAAAAGUUCUUUAAUACAAAGUCCUACCUGAAAAAAGGUCUCUUUCAAGCCUAGAGUUCUAGCAAUGAUUUUUAGGUAAAUAAAUGAAAAGCCAAGACCAGGCAAACUCUGUACACUGUCCCCCUUUUCCUUUUUGUUCAUUUCUUUUGUAGAUUGCCCUCUGAAACUCCUUUUAUACCUAACAGUUGUUAUAAAUCGAACUAUUCGUGAAAAUCCUUUGAAAAAUAUAACAUCUGAACAAACA